rnacentral:rRNA from 1 species
GUGCCAGCUGCCGCGGUAAUACCGGCAGCCCGAGUGAUGGCCGAUCUUAUUGGGCCUAAAGCGUCCGUAGCUGGGUCUGAAAGUCCAUCGGGAAAUCCACUCGCUCAACGAGUGGCCGUCCGGUGGAAACUCCACACCUUGGGACCGGAAGGCUCGAAGGGUACGGCCGGGGUAGGAGUGAAAUCCUGUAAUCCCGUCCGGACCACCGAUGGCGAAAGCACGUCGCGAGAACGGAUCCGACAGUGAGGGACGAAAGCUAGGGUCUCGAACCGGAUUAGAUACCCGUGUAGUCC